GAUGAAGAACGUAGCGAAAUGCGACACUUGGUGUGAAUUGCAGAAUCCCGUGAACCAUCGAGUCUUUGAACGCAAGUUGCGCCUCAAGCCAUUAGGUUGAGGGCACGUCUGCCUGGGCGUCACAUAUCGUUGCCUGAUGCCAGUUUCCUCGUGAUGGGUGACUGUGCAGGGCGAAUGAUGGCUUCCCGUGAGCAUUGUUGCCUCAUGGUUGGUUGAAAAUUGAGUCCUUGGUAGGGAGCGCCGUGAUAGAUGGUGGUUGAGUGACGAACGAGACCCAAUCAUGUGAGACCCCUACCGAAUUUGGCCUUCAUGACCCACAUGCGUCUUUGGAACGCUCAUGACGAGACCUCAGGUCAGGCGGGGCUACCCGCUGAGUUUAAGCAUAUCAAUAAGCGGAGGA
rnacentral:misc_RNA from 1 species